rnacentral:rRNA from 1 species
AUUGAACGCUGGCGGCAGGCCUAACACAUGCAAGUCGAACGGUAACAGGAAGAAGCUUGCUUCUUUGCUGACGAGUGGCGGACGGGUGAGUAAUGUCUGGGAAACUGCCUGAUGGAGGGGGAUAACUACUGGAAACGGUAGCUAAUACCGCAUAACGUCGCAAGACCAAAGAGGGGGAACUUCGGGCCUCUUGCCAUCGGAUGUGCCCAGAUGGGAUUAGCUAGUAGGUGGGGUAACGGCUCACCUAGGCGACGAUCCCUAGCUGGUCUGAGAGGAUGACCAGCCACACUGGAACUGAGACACGGUCCAGACUCCUACGGGAGGCAGCAGUGGGGAAUAUUGCACAAGGGGCGCAAGCCUGAUGCAGCCAUGCCGCGUGUAUGAAGAAGGCCUUCGGGUUGUAAAGUACUUUCAGCGGGGAGGAAGGGAGUAAAGUUAAUACCUUUGCUCAUUGACGUUACCCGCAGAAGAAGCACCGGCUAACUCCGUG